UCAAGCAGUUCGUUGGCGAUUAUGAAUUUUAAAUACUGUUUGUUAAUGCUUUCGCUAUUGCUGGCUGGGGCACUGGGACGUCCUGCCAUGCCCCUAUCGACAACGCUGCCCCCGUGCACACCCUGGUGUGCCGGCCAACUUCCUCCGCCUCCCGGUGCUGUCAACUAAAUAUAUGAAGAUACUACUCUACCACAAUCAACUCCAGCUUCAACUCCUACUCCUCAGAUCACGCCACAUCCCGAUGCUCUACCCGCUGUUCGGUCGCUUACUUUUCGUAGUUAUUUCGUGGCAUUUUCUAAAACAAUUAAACUCCCAUAAAGUAUACAAAUAA